CCAACCGAACCCAUCCACUGUCACACGCAACAAUGACCACCUGCCAGUGCACCACCGUCGGAAACUGCAACUGCCCGCCGGGCUCGUGCGCCUGCCAGAACUGCCACGGCGGUGCUGACAAGCGCGCUCAGGCUUGCUCGUGCGUCUCGAAAGACGCUCAGGGCCAAGAGACCUGCGCCUGCUCGUCCAAGGCCGACUGCAAGUGCGGCGACUCGUGCGCUUGCGCGUCGUGCGGGAAGCAGAAGAAGAGCGGGUGCAGCUGUGUCUCGAAGGAUGCGCAGGGCACCGAGUCGUGCUCGUGCAAGGGCGAGUGCAAAUGCGCCGGCAACUGUGGCUGCUCGACCUGCGGCACCGCCAAGGCCUGAGCCGCCCUC
rnacentral:misc_RNA from 1 species